rfam:Neotoma lepida isolate 417 scaffold_418, whole genome shotgun sequence.
GGGGAGGUGGCUCAGUGGUUAAGAGCACUGGCUACUCUUCCAGAGGACCUGGGUUCAAUUCCCAGCACCCACA